ensembl:lncRNA novel transcript
CAAAGUGCUGGGAUUACCUGCAUGAGCCACUGCACCUGGCUUCAGCCCUUUGUUUUAUCCAAGAGAAGGUCAAGAGCAGAUAAAUUGGAAGAAAAGACACAGAGGCAAAGAGAAACACAUAGAGAGGAGAAUGCCUCGUGAAAAUGGAGACCGAGAUUGGUGCAAUGUGUCCACAAGCCAGGGAAUGCCAACGUGGCCAGCAACCACCAGAAGCUGGGAGAGAGGCAUGGAACAGAGUCCUCGGAGCCUCCAGAAGGAACCAACCCUGUUGAUACCUUGACUGAAAACUUCCAGCCUCCAGAACUGUGACAGAAUUAAUUUCUGUUAUUUAAAGCCAUUCAGUCUGUGGUAAUUUGUUACAUCAGCCCUGAAUAGCAAAUACAGAUGACCCAGGUUUAAAUCCUAGUUCUGCCACUUAUGAGCGUGGGUACAUAACUACUUUCUAGAGCCCCGGUUUCCUCAUCUGUAAAAAACCUCAUACGGUUAUUAAGAAGAUCAAAUGAGAUACAAACAUAAAUUCUUAACAGUGCUGGCAUGUUAAUUGUUCAAUAAAUAUGAGUUAUUUACAACAAUUGUGAUAGUAAUGAGUAACACAGAGAAAUGAGAAUUGACUUAACAGAGGCUGGCUCGGCAAGCCUCUAUGCCAACAAAAUUUAUUUGGAAAUCAAAAGUAUUUACUUCAGACUGGGCGCAGUGGCUCACACCUGUAAUCCCUGCACUUGAGGUCAGGAGUUGGAAACCAGCCUGGCCAACAUGGUGAAACCUCAUCUUUACUAAGGGAGGAGACCACCCCUCAUAUUGUCUGCAUAUGCCCAGUUUCUGCCUCCAAAGAAAGAAGAAGUAAAAACUAAAAGGCAGAAAUGAAGUCCACAGGCAGACAGCCCGGUGCCACACCCUGGGCUUGGUAGUUAAAGAUCGACCCCUGACCUAAUCAGUUAUGUUAUCUAUAGAUUACAGGCAUUGUAUAGAAAAGCACUGUGAAAAUCCCUGUCCUGUUCUGUUCUGUUAUAAUUACUGGUGUAUGCAGCCCCCAGUCACGUACCCUCUACUUGCUCAAUCGAUCACGACCCUCUCACGCAGACCCCCUUAGAGUUGUGAGCCCUUAAAAGGGACAGGAAUUGCUCACUCGGGGAGCUCGGUUUUUGGAGACGUGAGUCUUGCCGAAGCUCCCGGCUGAAUAAAGCCCUUCCUUCU